AGAGAGGUGGCAGAGUGGUCGAAUGCGACGGAUUCGAAAUCCGUUAUACCGGCAACGGUAUCGGGGUUCGAAUCCCCCCCUCUCUG
rnacentral:tRNA from 1 species